AAUGCAGUCAAAGCUGGACUGAGGCUUGUCUUUGCUGUCACUGGACAGGUAGAAGGAGAAGACUCUGAAAGCGUCCGGAGCCUCGGGGGUCGGUACCGGGAUCUUUACGUACUGUCGAAGACAAAGACGUAAAAGAGCAUCUUUCAGACGAAUGAGAAGAUAUUUAGGACAAGUGCCGCGAUGAGCAGAAGCCAAAAACGACACAUCAACACCUGGCGACUGGGAAGAGCGGCAGCGGCAGGAGUUUGUUCGGGCGACAGGGCGCCUGGUGGUUCGAAGAAAGGUGACCUGCCGUCUGUCGGGAGAGGCAACAACAAAACAAGAGCGUGGCUUCUUCACCUGGACGACGAACUCUUCACCUCCUCCAUCAGUGGCUGCCUGUCACCCCCCUGCCCAACAAACAAGCCAGCAGGGCUACGUCUAUCUCC